AACUUGUUUGAAAACAUUAACUCCCCAAAACUGAACAAUAAACAGCAACGUAGUUUAGAAGGCGAACUUAACUACAAUGAAGUAUUACGAUCCUUGAAAAAAUUAAAAAACGGAAAAAGCCCUGGGCCUUCAGGGUUCACAGUCGAAUUUUACAAAUUCUUUUGGCUAGUUUUACAUAAAUACUUGAUACGAUCGCUUAAUUUUGGCUAUAAUAAUGGCUCACUGUCAGUAAGCCAGACGCAAGGCCUAAUAACCUGUUUCCCCAAAAGAACAAAUCAAAACAGCAUCUAAAAAAUUGGAGCCCGAUAUCCCUAUUAAAUGUCUUCUAUAAGAUAGCUUCUUCAGCAAUCGCAAAUAGAAUUAAAACAGUAUUACCCGAAAUAAUAAACGAAGAAAAAGGUUUUAUAACAAACAGAUAUAUUGGAGAAUGCACAAGACUCGUCUAGGAUAUAAUGGAUUAUACGGAAUGCAUGGAAAUACCUGGAUUGCUUUUAUCAAUUGAUUUCGAAAAAGCUUUCGACUCGGUGGACUGGAACUUUAUACAAAAUGUUUUGACUUUCUUUAACUUUCAAGCACUGGAUAGAAACAUGUUUCCGUAAUAUUAGAUCCAGCAUUCUUAUUAAUGGAUUCGGAACAGAUUUCUUUAGUAUCACAGAGGCUGCAGACAAGGUGACCCAUUAUCCCCAUAUUUAUUCGUAUUAUGCGCAGAAAUAUUAGCGAUAAUGCUACGUCACAAUGAAAAUAUCAAAGGAAUAAAAAUCGGAAACACCGAAUACCUCAUAUCACAGUUCACUGACGAUACAACGCUGAUUCUAAAUGGAAAUGAAGCCUGCGUACAGAGUGCGCUUAACACACGAGAUACGUACUCUGCUUUCUCAGGCCUUAAAAUAAACAGGAGUAAAACACAACUAUUUUGGAUAGGUUCACAACGCUCUUCAAGUGUAAUAUUAUGUACACAAUGGAAAUUAGACUGGGAAAAGAAAAGUUUCACCCUUUUAGGCAUCACCUUUACACACAACCUGGCGGAAAUGGCAUUAAGUCAAUUAUGAAUAUAUGGUUACAACGUAAUCUAACUCCAUAAGGAAGAAAUACCAUAUUAAAAAGCUAUAUCUUACCAAAACUCAACCAUCUAUUCGCGUCGCUUCCAGAUCCUAACGAUAAACUAUUUAAAGAAAUCGAAUCACUCUGCUUCGGAUUGUAGGGAAAAACAAACCCGAUAAAAUUGGCAGAAAAAUAAUUUUUCAGAACCAAAUGAUGAACGAGGACUACGAGCUCCAAACAUAAGGCGGAUAAUAUCUUCUAAAAAAAUAUCAUGGAUUAGACGACUACUGAACGCAAGACAUAUAUAAUUCAAAAACUCUUGAAUGAUUUCCUAUCAAUAACACGCGACCACCUCAUAAAUAAUGAAGAUAACCUGACAUAUAAACCAACAAAUCGAGGAACAAACCCCUUCUUGAGGGAUGUCCUGAAAUGCUGGGAGUUAUACCUAAACUCUAAAUGUGAAAAUGCCAAAAACGAAUACGAUAUCCUUUCCCAAAUUGUAUGGCACAAUAAGAACAUUAGAAUAGGAGGAAGCACCUUUGUCUAUAAACACUACUCUGAUAAGGCCAUCCACUACAUUAAUGACCUCGUUGAUAACGACGGAAAUUAUUUCAACCUUUCUUCCCUUCAGAGGAAAUAUCACAUAAAACAAACUUCCUUGAAUAUCAAGGCAUAAUUGAAUCAGUUGACUCUUAUGUUAAAAGCAAAUGCAUUAAACUUAAAUCAAAACUCCAAACACCAAUUCUGCCAUAUUUCAUCAAAGAUGUAUGUGAAACGAAAAGAGGCUGUCGUAUAUUCUAUGACACAUCAAAACACAAACCUUUUUGACAUUAAGACCAGUAAACACAUUCGGAAAUGGGAGAACAAUCUCAGAUGUACCCUGACAGAACAAGAAUGGAAAACCAUACAUUAUACACCCUUCCGCACACAUACAAACAGCAAACUACAAUGGUUUCAACACAGCAUCAUUUACAGAAUAAUACCCACGAACGACCUCCUACAUAAAAUGAAAUAUACGAACAAUAAUAAAU